ensembl:lncRNA uncharacterized LOC114462316
AUCCCAAUGAGAUUUCACUUAAAAGUCUAGUCUGUGUUAACGUUCUGCUAUACCGUACGAGCUAACUCACCUGGGAGCAGCUCCUCAACAUGACGAAGAUGAUGCUGUUCCAAGCACUUCUCUGGGCACUUCUCGGCUCAGCAUUCUUAAAGACUGCUGCAGCAACAACAAGUACACCAACUACUGCAAAUGCAACAACAUCCACGAGCUUUGAGACAUCGACUACAACACCUGAACCAGCUGGAGCAGUAGAAUGCAGUAAUUGUGAUAGUGGCGCUGAUCCGCUGUGUGAAUCCCCCAUCCCGAUUGGAUGUCCUGAGUUCGACCUGUGUGUGACAGCAUUUAUCACAGAGUUGGAUGGAUCACAGAAAGUAUACAAGGGUUGUGCCAUUCCUGAAUGGUGUGCAUUUCCAUCCAUUUAUAAACUGUCAACCAACUUGGGGCUAAAUGCUUCAACUGCAUUUGUUCAAUGUUGCGAAGGUCAUUUUUGCAACACUCCAGCACCAACUUUUAUUCCAAUACAACCUACAAAUGGCAUUCAGUGCCCUGGUUGUAAUCCCAGCACCCCUGACUGCAAUUCUACCGUUCAAUGUAGAGGGACCGAGACUUUCUGCUUUUCAGCAAACAUAUCUGGGGGCUCUCAAGUUUCUGGAUGUGCAAACAGUGACACAUGUAUUGCUUCACAGUUCUUAGCAGUCCUUCCUUUCUUGGGUGAUGUGGGUGAAAUUGUCAAUGAACCAAGUUGCAUUUCUGCAACCACUAUAACGACUGAACCACCUGCAACUACAGAUGAACCAACGACAACACCUCAGAAAAAAACUACCACCCCUAAAGCAGAUCCCUUGCAUGAUGAAACACAGUGGACAGUCAACGGACAAAGGCUCAUGUUGGCAUCAACCACAGAAGAAUCAACAGUCUGGUCAACAACUGAAGAGCCACAAAACAAGCUACUUUGUGAAGAUUUUUUAGAAUUGUUGAGACAGUUAGAAAUAGCGUCCUGUCACAUUGAAGACGUUCUCUCUGAAGAUCCAACACUGCUGACGUUGCUUCAAAUGCACCAACAACUCCUUUACUAUCAACAGUAUCUGUUACUCGAACAGCAAAACCUGACAAUUGAUCACUCAAACCAACCAUUGCUGUACUGCCAACAUCAUGUACUGCUAAAUCAUCAUCAACUACUGCUCUCCAAAUUGAAUCCUCAAUCCGACAUGAUGCAGCUCUGCCGUUUUCAGUCAUAUUUGUCCCCGUACCUAGAACAACAACUACAGCUUUGGUACAAUCAACAAAAUGCGUUGCUUUGCGAGGUCCAGCUGCAUUUGGAUCUCUAUCAGCAACAACUGCUGCAGUAUCACCCGGAGCAAGAUUUACUUGGCUGUCAAGGUAAUCUCUUUAGUCCGUACUACAAUCAACCGUUUGACGACAAUCCAUACUUUCAACCUGAACUCCAACAAACAUCACUUGGAGAUGUGAAUCUGACUUUUGCAGACUUUUUUGAUACACUACCAGAAAAUGUUUCAGUUGUAACAUCACAUGAAGAACUGUGUCAAGAAUUAUCCGAAAAGCUCAAUGAACUACUAAUGAAUUCGAGUUACAUUGAGGAUGUUCUGUCUGAAAAUCCAGAACUGCUGCUGUUGCUUCAAAUUCACCAAGAACUGCUUAAACAUCAACAGUAUCUGUUACUCGAACAACAAAAUCUGCCAUGUAACCAUUCAAACCAACCGUUGCUGUACUGCCAACAUCAUGUACUGCUAAAUCAUCAUCAACUACUGCUUUCCAAAUUGAAUCCUCAGACAGAUAUGAUGCAGCUCUGCAUUGAUCAGCCAUAUUUGUUCCCGUACCAAGAAGAACAACUGCAGCUUUGGUACAAUCAACAAAAUGCAUUGCUUUGUGAGGUCCAGCUGCAUUUGGAUCUCUAUCAGCAACAACUGCUGCAGUAUCACCCGGAGCAAGAUUUACUUGGCUGUCAAGGUAAUCUCUUUAGUCCGUACUACAAUCAACCGUUUGACGACAAUCCAUACUUUCAACCUGAACUCCAACAAACAUCACUUGGAGAUGUGAAUCUGACUUUUGCAGACAUUUUUGAUACACUACCAGAAAAUGUUUCAGUUGUAACAUCACAUGAAGAACUGUGUCAAAAAUUAUCCGAAAAGCUCAAUGAACUACUAAUGAAUUCGAGUUACAUUGAGGAUGUUCUGUCUGAAAAUCCAGAACUGCUGCUGUUGCUUCAAAUUCACCAAGAACUGCUUAAACAUCAACAGUAUCUGUUACUCGAACAACAAAAUCUGCCAUGUAACCAUUCAAACCAACCGUUGCUGUACUGCCAACAUCAUGUACUGCUAAAUCAUCAUCAACUACUGCUUUCCAAAUUGAAUCCUCAGACAGAUAUGAUGCAGCUCUGCAUUGAUCAACCAUAUUUGUUCCCGUACCAAGAAGAACAACUGCAGCUUUGGUACAAUCAACAAAAUGCAUUGCUUUGUGAGGUCCAGCAACAUUUUGAUCUCUAUCAGCAACAACUGCUGCAGUAUCACCCCGAGGAAGAUUUGCUAGGCUGCCAAAAUAAUCUCUUCUGAACAUACAACAGCUAAACUAUAAUCCACUCUUUUAACCUUUUAACCGUCACCAUAAAUGCCAACACAGAGAUGUGACAGAAACUCUUCCAUUAUUGUUGAUAAAAACAAAUUCAGCUGCAGCAACAUCACAUUGACAAGACUGUCAAGAAUUAUCCCAAAGUGUCAAUGAACUACAAAUACAUUUAGGUCAAAAUGAAAAUGUUCUUUUUGAAAAUUCAGAACUGCUGAAGUUGCUUCAAAUGCACCAACAACUCCUUAAGCAUCUACUGCAUCUGUUACUCGAACAACAAAAUCUGGCAAAUAACGACUCAAACCAACCAUUGCUGCACUGCCAACAUCAUGUGCUUUUAAACCACCAUCAACUUCUGCUCCAUCAACUCGAUCCAUCAAUUCAAUUCAACUUUAUUUGUAUAGCGCAAUUUACAACAAAGUAAUCUCAAUGCGCUUAUCAAAAUAUAAAAUUCAUAAUAAGAAAGAAAAAAAACCAGCAAGAUCCACAUGAACAAGCAUUUAGCGACAGUGGGAAGAAACAACUCCCUUUAACAGGAAGAAAUCUUCAGGAGAACCAGGUUCAGAGGUGGCAGCCAUCUGCCUCGACUGGUUGGGGUUAGUGGACAGAAGGACCAACAGAACAGGAUAGAGAGGUAGAACAUCAGAGUGUCUCAGACUAGUUGAGUCGUGAACCACAGAUCAGGAACUGCCAUCAUCAGCUUCACGACACCUGAAACAGAGCAGAGAGAGAAGGGCGAGGAGAAGGCACUGACUGCAGAAAAACUGAUACAUUAUUAUCACGUCAGCCUGCCUUUGCCUUUGGCCUCACUCUCAGUGGCCUAGUCAACACUUAUUAUAAAUGUGACGAAUAUCCUCUCGUUUAUUGGUCGACUCCAAGGUCUGUAAAUGCGACUGUUCGCAGAUGAGCCCAUGUCUGUUCUAAAGGUUAGGUUAUGAUAUGAUUCAGUCCUGAAUCAUACAAUAACAUAACAUACCAACAAGAAGGCAU